rnacentral:rRNA from 1 species
CAAGACCUACGGGAGGCAGCAGUGGGGAAUAUUGCACAAUGGGCGCAAGCCUGAUGCAGCCAUGCCGCGUGUAUGAAGAAGGCCUUCGGGUUGUAAAGUACGUUCAGCGGGGAGGAAGGCGAUAAGGCUAAUAACCUUGUUGAUUGACGUUACCCGCAGAAGAAGCACCGGCUAACUCCGUGCCAGCAGCCGCGGUAAUACGGAGGGUGCAAGCGUUAAUCGGAAUUACUGGGCGUAAAGCGCACGCAGGCGGUCUGUCAAGUCGGAUGUGAAAUCCCCGAGCUCAACCUGGGAACUGCAUUCGAAACUGGCAGGCUGGAGUCUUGUAGAGGGGGGUAGAAUUCCAGGUGUAGCGGUGAAAUGCGUAGAGAUCUGGAGGAAUACCGGUGGCGAAGGCGGCCCCCUGGACAAAGACUGACGCUCAGUUGCGAAAGCGUGGGGAGCAAACAGGAUUAGAUACCCGCGUA